UACGGGGGGAGCAAGCGUUGUUCGGAUUUACUGGGCGUAAAGGGCGCGUAGGCGGCCACCGCAAGUCAGUUGUGAAAUCUCUGGGCUUAACCCAGAACGGUCAGCUGAUACUGCGGGGCUAGAGUGCAGAAGGGGCAACUGGAAUUCUCGGUGUAGCGGUGAAAUGCGUAGAUAUCGGGAGGAACACCGGUGGCGAAGGCGGCCAUCUGGACGGAUACUGACGCUGAGACGCGAAAGCGUGGGUAGCAAACAGG
rnacentral:rRNA from 1 species